AAUGAACGCUGGCGGCGUGCUUAACACAUGCAAGUCGUGCGCGAAGGAGGCUUCGGCUUCCGGAGAGCGGCGAACGGGUGAGUAACACGUGGGUAAUCUGCCUGGGAGCGUGGGAUAACCUGGGGAAACUCGGGCUAAUACCGCGUACGUUGAUGGGACUAUGGUUCUGUCAAGAAAGCUGGCCUCUGUUUACAAGCUAGCGCUCCCAGAGGAGCCCGCGGCUGAUUAGCUAGUUGGUGAGGUAAUGGCUCACCAAGGCUUCGAUCAGUAGCCGGCCUGAGGGGGUGAUCGGCCACACUGGGACUGAGACACGGCCCAGACUCCUACGGGAGGCAGCAGUGGGGAAUAUUGGACAAUGGGCGCAAGCCUGAUCCAGCAACGCCGCGUGGAGGAUGAAGGUCUUCGGGAUCGUAAACUCCU
rnacentral:rRNA from 1 species